rnacentral:rRNA from 1 species
ACUGCUCAGUAACACGUGGACAACCUGCCCUUAGGUUGGGUAUAAACCCGGGAAACUGGGUAUAAUACCCGAUAGGUCUCGAUUGCUGGAAUGCAUCGAGAUUUAAAGCUCCGGCGCCUAAGGAUGGGUCUGCGGCCUAUCAGGUAGUAGUGGGUGUAGCGUACCUACUAGCCUACGACGGGUACGGGUUGUGAGAGCAAGAGCCCGGAGAUGGAUUCUGAGACGCGAAUCCAGGCCCUACGGGGUGCAGCAGGCGCGAAAACUUUACAAUGCUGGCAACAGCGAUAAGGGAACCUCGAGUGCCAGGUUACAAAUCUGGCUGUCGAGAUGCCUAAAAAGCAUUUCAUAGCAAGGGCCGGGCAAGACCGGUGCCAGCCGCCGCGGUAACACCGGCGGCUCGAGUGGUAACCGUUAUUAUUGGGUCUAAAGGGUCUGUAGCCGGCCGGAUAAGUCUCUUGAGAAAUCUGGCAGCUUAACUGUCAGGCUUUCAGGAGAUACUGUCUGGCUCGAGGCCGGGAGAGGUGAGAGGUACUUCAGGGGUAGGGGUGAAAUCUUGUAAUCCUUGAAGGACCACCAGUGGCGAAGGCGUCUCACCAGAACGGACCUGACGGCAAGGGACGAAAGCUAGGGGCACGAACCGGAUUAGAUACCCGGGUAGUCCUAGCCGUAAACGAUACUCGCUAGGUGUCGGCCACGGUGCGACCGUUGUCGGUGCCGUAGGGAAGCCGUGAAGCGAGCCACCUGGGAAGUACGGCCGCAAGGCUGAAACUUAAAGGAAUUGGCGGGGGAGCAC